CAUAAAUAGAGGCAAUUAGAUUAUAACAAGAUACAUAAUAUUAACCUCAAACAAAAUGAUACAUAAUAGUUUCUCUAUGGGGAAAACAAAACACACAAUUUUAUGCAGAGUUGGCUUUCCCUUAUUGUGGUACAUAUUUGAUACACUUCUUCAAUUCCAAUUUUUUUCUUUUUCUCCCUCAACACAAAAUUUGCAAGUCUUGUGUGUAUUGAUACAAACUUCUCCAUCAAUCAUCUAUGUUAUCCGUAUCAAACGGAAGAGCAUUCUAUUCAAAAUUUCUGUUCUUGCAAGUUUUGUUACAUGGGUAAGGACAAUCGAUCUCUUGGAAUCGUUUUCUUUCAUAAUACCAAUCUCCGACUGCUUUGGCAAUCGUCGUGCCAGAUAAUACUGGUGAGUCGUCCCUUAGCCAUGUCUCUUGUGUUCCGGUUUGACAAUGUGCAUAACAAGAAUUGAUGUAAUACCCUCGCGUUGAGGAAGGGCCGAGUGAGUUCAAUGCUUUCAAGAACUCUGACCUAAAAGCUUGCAUAGUUUGGAGUUGAGCGGACGAGCAUUUCAAUAUAUCAAGCUUGCAGUUGCGCCAAGUUCCAUGAGGAUCAGCAACACCAGGAGCCAAAAUGUUCUUUAUCUGCCAGGAAUCAUACGCUGCAUUUACUAGGAAAAGUGGUGUCUGGAUUUGUUGCGCAACGUUUUGUGGGAAAAAACACAAUCCCGGUUUCAGCCUUGAGGUACACGAUUGAGGCAAAUUCUUCGCAGAACCAUGUGUGUUAACAACUUCACUGUAGAACUUUUCAAUAUGAGAGGUACCAGAAAUAGUUUGCGUGUUGAUAAAGAAACCAGCAUCUGAGAGACAUUUUACUUUAGCACCCGAUGGAAGGAGACCUUUAAAUCUGUCACAAUGUAGAAUUGCAGCCAAACUACCAGCUGAACAUCCCGCAAGAAUAGCAUUCUGAGCGUUCUUCAUUCCUUUAGCCAAGAAAUCAUCCAUAACAGCUGAAAAAAUCCUGGCUCCUCUGUAGAAUACUUUUGUUCUCGGAUCGGCUGCUGCAACAUCACCAGUAAAGGAUGAUCCAUCACAAUAUCUAAUUCUAAUUCUGUUCCAAUUGUAAAAGUCUGGAUUAAACUUAGCCUUGUUGCUCAAAAUUCCUGAGAAAGACACUGUCUUUACCAUUAGUUUAGAUGAUCCCAAUCGUGUUUUUGUACGUUCAAGACAAGUUGUGGCAUUACUGCACCAUGCUCCUCCCUGAAGUCAUGGGAUGAAUCCAAAUGCAAAUUCAUGUACGCGGACCAAAUAAUUGUUCAUAAAUAAUCACUAGCAAAAGUUCAAUCUAGUUUUUGAUAACGGGGUAUACACGACAGCUUAUGCAUAUCUCGACUAUCUUAGUUCAAGAAUUUGAAGGGGAAAGGCUAACGAUUGGACUGAAAUAAGACUAAGAGCCUGUUUGGCUCAGCUUAAAAGCUGGUCAAACUGACUUAAAAGCUGGUUUUUGAUUUAUUUAGCUGUUUGGCAAUACUCAAAAUAACUUAUUUUAAGUUAAAAAAAAACUUAUUUUAAGCCAAAAGUUAAAAGCUGGGGUAGGGGUGCUUUUUUUUUCAAGCUUAUAAGUUGUUUUAAGUUGACCACAUUUUUACCUUUUUGCCCUUAAUAUUUUUAUA
rnacentral:misc_RNA from 1 species